rnacentral:rRNA from 1 species
UACGGGGGGGGGCAAGCGUUGUUCGGAAUUACUGGGCGUAAGGGGCUCGUAGGUGGCCAACUAAGUCGGACGUGAAAUCCCUCGGCUUAACCGGGGAACUGCGUCUGAUACUGGAUGGCUUGAGUUCGGGAGAGGGAUGCGGAAUUCCAGGUGUAGCGGUGAAAUGCGUAGAUAUCUGGAGGAACACCGGUGGCGAAGGCGGCAUCCUGGACCGACACUGACGCUGAGGAGCGAAAGCCAGGGGAGCAAACGGG